UUGACAGGCGUUUCACGGCAACGCAUAGCAACGGCUGCCGCAGCGGAGGGCCGGCGUGUGGGCGCGGUCAGGGCGCGGGGCUGCUUUCCCUCCCCGCGCCUUGAGAUACGCGGACAGUGGGGAAUCGCCCUGGCCCUGAACAGAAAAAUUCAGCUGUGUUCAGACACCCCCUUCCCUUCACCAUAUCACUUCUCUCCCCAUGGAUCCAGAAGGCUUUUAAAAGGCUGACUGGGAUGUUACACAGACCAACAACCCAAACAGCAGCAACAACAACAAAAACUCCCCUUCUUCAUCAGGCCCAAGAUUGUGAAAAUGACAGGAAGUCCAGAAAUGGAAAGGUGGAGCAAAACAGAAGAUGUGAAGGAAAAGGGGAACUGUAGCACCAAUAUCUUCCUCUCCAACAAAAGAACCCCAAACUCGUCGUUGGAAGCUUUCAUUGGAUAUCUUCCUAACAGCCUAACCCUGGAGCCAUUUCCACACCCAAUUCAGCCUCCUGAAAAGAGUCUUCCUCCUUCCUUGCUCCCUGUGUUUCUUUCCAAAGGAAUCUUUACUGGAAAAGUACAGAGUCUCAGAACCAAGGAAAACAGAAACUUGCUACAAGUCCCUCCCUACACAAGCACAAGGAGGCCAGUGCUAGGUAUACUUCACAUGACAACCUUUGCCCCUCAUAGCUAAACUGAACUGUAAUAUUCCUCACCUUGGAGCUGAAAAUGAGAUUUAAUGUGGAGCUUCCUGGCUAUGAGUUUGACCUGCUUUUGGUUUUGUUUUGCUUUGCUUUCCAGACUAUAGUGUUCAUAAGCCAAGUGUUGCCCCUCUAGUUUUUAUGAGCAGAAACUGGGCUCUUUAUUUUUCCUAAUGAUGGGCACAAAGAAAACAUGUCUUUAUUGCCCAACUAGAAUUCAAGAUUAAAGUAAUGCU